rnacentral:rRNA from 1 species
CAAUAGCGUAUAUUAAAGUUGUUGCAGUUAAAAAGCUCGUAGUUGGACCUUGGACCUGGACAGGCGGUCCGCCUCACGGCGUGUACUGUCUUGUUGGGUCUUUCCUCUUGGUGAUCUGUUGUUUCGGCAGCAGGGAACCAGGACUUUUACUUUGAAAAAAUUAGAGUGUUCAAAGCAGGCUCGACGCCGGAAUAUAUUAGCAUGGAAUAAUAAAAUAGGACGUGCGGUUCUAUUUUGUUGGUUUUUGGAAUCGCCGUAAUGAUUAAUAGGGACAGUCGGGGGCAUUAGUACUCACAUGCUAGAGGUGAAAUUCUUGGAUUUUGUGAAGACUAACUUCUGCGAAAGCAUUUGCCAAGGAUGUUUUCAUUAA